UACAGAGGGGGGCAAGCGUUGUUCGGAAUUACUGGGCGUAAAGGGCGCGUAGGCGGCCUGUUAAGUCGAACGUGAAAUCCCUGGGCUCAACCCAGGAACUGCGUCCGAUACUGGCAGGCUUGAAUCCGGGAGAGGGAUGUGGAAUUCCAGGUGUAGCGGUGAAAUGCGUAGAUAUCUGGAGGAACACCGGUGGCGAAGGCGGCAUCCUGGACCGGUAUUGACGCUGAGGCGCGAAAGCCAGGGGAGCAAACGGG
rnacentral:rRNA from 1 species